GUGCCAGCAGCCGCGGUAAUACGGAGGGUGCAAGCGUUGUUCGGAUUUACUGGGCGUAAAGCGCGCGCAGGUGGGUGACCAAGUCGGAAGUGAAAUCUCGAGGCUCAACCUCGAGGCUGCUCCCGAAACUGGUCGCCUAGGGACUGGUAGAGGCUGGUAGAAUUCCCGGUGUAGCGGUGGAAUGCGUAGAGAUCGGGAAGAAUACCCGUGGCGAAGGCGGCCAGCUGGGCCAGGUCCGACACUGAGGCGCGAAAGCGUGGGGAGCAAACAGGAUUAGAAACCCGCGUAGUCC
rnacentral:rRNA from 1 species